rnacentral:rRNA from 1 species
AUGGCUCAGAUUGAACGCUGGCGGCGUGCUUAACACAUGCAAGUCGAACGCGAAAGGGACUUCGGUCCUGAGUAAAGUGGCGCACGGGUGAGUAACGCGUGGAUAAUCUGCCCUUAUGAUCGGGAUAACAGUUGGAAACGGCUGCUAAUACCGGAUACGCUCAAAAUGAACUUUUUGAGGAAAGAUGGCCUCUGCUUGCAUGCUAUCACGUAAGGAUGAGUCCGCGUCCCAUUAGCUUGUGGCGGGUAACGGCCCACCAAGGCAACGAUGGGUAGCCGAUUUGAGAGGAUGAUCGGCCACACUGGAACUGAAACACGGUCCAGACUCCUACGGGAGGCAGCAGUGGGGAAUAUUGCGCAAUGGGCGAAAGCCUGACGCAGCGACGCCGCGUGAGGGAUGAAGGUUUUCGGAUCGUAAACCUCUGUCAGAAGGGAAGAAACUACGUUGUGCUAAUCAGCAGCGUACUGACGGUACCUUCAAAGGAAGCACCGGCUAACUCCGUGCCAGCCGCCGC